rnacentral:sRNA from 1 species
CUCUCUCUGUCCCUGGACUGAGCUGUUAGCAAGCCUGAUUCCUGAUGUACCUCCCAUAGGAAACGAUGACUGGCUGGGCUGCUGGGGUCACCACAUGAAGUCUCCUAGUUUCCGAUCUAUUCGAGAGCAUCAGAAGAUUGGGAGGAAGGACCGGCUAUGGCGGAACCUGUCACGCAUGCAGAGCCGCUUUGGCAAGAAGGAGUUCAGUUUCUUCCCCCAGUCCUUUAUCCUGCCCCAGGACGCCAAGCUCCUGCGCAAAGCGUGGGAGAGCAGCAGCCGCCAAAAGUGGAUUGUGAAGCCACCAGCAUCAGCUCGAGGCAUUGGCAUCCAGGUUAUUCACAAGUGGAGUCAGCUCCCCAAGCGAAGGCCCCUCCUGGUACAGAGGUAUCUACACAAACCCUACCUCAUCAGCGGCAGCAAAUUUGAUCUGCGGAUCUAUGUUUACGUCACUUCCUAUGAUCCUCUGCGGAUUUACCUCUUUUCAGAUGGACUGGUCCGCUUUGCCAGUUGCAAGUAUUCUCCUUCCAUGAAGAGCCUUGGCAAUAAGUUCAUGCAUCUGACCAACUACAGUGUCAAUAAAAAGAAUGCCGAGUACCAGGCCAAUGCAGAUGAAAUGGCUUGCCAGGGCCACAAAUGGGCACUGAAGGCUUUGUGGAACUACCUGAGCCAGAAGGGAGUCAAUAGUGAUGCCAUCUGGGAGAAGAUAAAGGAUGUUGUUGUCAAAACCAUCAUCUCGUCAGAGCCCUAUGUGACCAGCCUGCUCAA